rnacentral:rRNA from 1 species
GACAUUUGGUAGAGACUGUUGGAGACACCUGGUCCUAGCAGACCCCAGAAAAAUGGCCACAUUCGCUGGUGCUGGGGCAAGGUUGUUAAGGGUGAAGCCUGGUGCCAGAUGUGU